GAUGAACGCUGGCGGCGUGCCUAAUACAUGCAAGUCGAGCGAACAGACGAGGAGCUUGCCCCUCUGACGUUAGCGGCGGACGGGUGAGUAACACGUGGAUAACCUACCUAUAAGACUGGGAUAACUUCGGGAAACCGGAGCUAAUACCGGAUAAUAUAUUGAACCGCAUGGUUCAAUAGUGAAAGACGGUUUUGCUGUCACUUAUAGAUGGAUCCGCGCCGCAUUAGCUAGUUGGUAAGGUAACGGCUUACCAAGGCAACGAUGCGUAGCCGACCUGAGAGGGUGAUCGGCCACACUGGAACUGAGACACGGUCCAGACUCCUACGGGAGGCAGCAGUAGGGAAUCUUCCGCAAUGGGCGAAAGCCUGACGGAGCAACGCCGCGUGGGUGAUGAAGGUCUUCGGAUCGUAAAACUCUGUUAUUAGGGAAGAACAAAUGUGUAAGUAACUAUGCACGUCUUGACGGUACCUAAUCAGAAAGCCACGGCUAACUACGUG
rnacentral:rRNA from 1 species